UACAGAGGGGGCAAGCGUUGUCCGGAAUUACUGGGCGUAAAGCGCGUGUAGGUGGUGGGACAAGUCUGCUGUGAAAGCGCCUGGCUUAACCGGGCGAGGUCGGCGGAAACUGCCUCACUUGAGGACGGUAGAGGGGGGUGGAAUUCCCGGUGUAGUGGUGAAAUGCGUAGAGAUCGGGAGGAACACCUGUGGCGAAGGCGGCCCCCUGGGCCGGCCCUGACACUGAGACGCGAAGGCGUGGGGAGCGAACGGG
rnacentral:rRNA from 1 species